GUGCAGCAGGCGAGAAAUCUUCACAAUGUGCGAAAGCACGAUGAGGGGAUCCCAAGUGCUGGCACGUAAGUGUCAGCUGUUUCUUAGUCUAAAAAACUGAGAGAGUAAGGGCUGGGUGAGACGGGUGCCAGCCGCCGCGGUAAUACCUGCAGCUCAAGUGGUGGCCGCUAUUAUUGGGCCUAAAACGUCCGUAGCCUGUUUAGUAAAUGCUUGGGUAAAUUGUGUAGCUUAACUAUACGAAUACCGGGUAGACUGCUAAACUUGGGACCGGGAGAGGCUAGAGGUACUCCUGGGGUAGAGGUGAAAUUCUGUAAUCCUAGGGGGACCACCAGUGGCGAAGGCGUCUAGCUAGAACGGGUCUGACGGUGAGGGACGAAGCCCUGGGGCGCAAACCGGAUUAGAUACCCGGGUAGUCC
rnacentral:rRNA from 1 species